GACGAAGGGGGCAAGCGUUGUUCGGAAUUACUGGGCGUAAAGGGCGCGUAGGCGGUUCUUUAAGUCAGGCGUGAAAGCCCUGGGCUCAACCUGGGAGUGGCGCUUGAUACUGGAGGACUAGAGAGUGGGAGAGGUUGGUGGAAUUCCUGGUGUAGCGGUGAAAUGCGUAGAUAUCAGGAGGAACACCUGUGGCGAAAGCGGCUCACUGGACCACAACUGACGCUGAUGCACGAAAGCUAGGGGAGCAAACAGG
rnacentral:rRNA from 1 species